rnacentral:lncRNA from 1 species
GUUUAUCUAUGAGGUUCUUUGGUCUGAAGACAGUUUUUGUCUCAACGCAGAGUCUAGAUGACGAGUCAGAUGAUGCGAGGCCACAAGUUCCUGCAAGAACAAGAAAAGCUUUGGUCAAAAAAUGCAGAAGCUUAUAAUUCACCUGAAAGAGUAAGUAAUCUCAUUAAGCUACAAAGUAAAGGAGUAGAAACUGAAUCUAAUAUAUCGGUAUAUGGUAAUAUAUUGCCAAACAGAAACAAAGAAGAGACAUCAACAAGAAAAUGCGUACUUUGCAGGAUCUACUACCUAAUUCUCACAAGGUUUGCUAAAAGAACCAACUUUUAAUUUAUUUCAAAUGAGAUCAUAAGCUUCCUGGAGAUACUACCAUUACUUACAUUACCCUAAAUACUCAACUGUUCAUAGGAUGACAACGAAUCAGUGUUGGAUGAAGCAAUCAAUUAUAUGAAAAACCUUCAACUUCAAGUUCAGGUAUAAUAAACAAAUACUUCCAACACUUUUUCGUAUCAAAAACAGAUUCAGUCUAAAAAUUCUUUGUUCUAACCUGUACAAAAUUUUGGAUGGUAGAUGAUGACGAUGGGUAACACAUUUGUUACACCAUCAAUGAUGUUGCCUUUCAUGGGAAUGCAAAUGGGCGCACAACAGUUUCUGCCUGCACAUGUCCUAGGAGCUGGCUUGCCUGGGAUUAAUGAUUCAGCAGAUAUGCUAAGGUUUCUUAACCAUCCUGGACUAAUACAAAUGCAAAAAUCUGCACCUUUCACUCCAACGGAAGAUUGUUCCCCACAAUCUGUCCCUCCAUCGUGCGCUGCUUUCCCUAACCAUAUACCAAACUCCACCUCUUUGUCAAAUUUAGAUGGUGCAUCACCUUACACAAGAAAUCAAGGAACAUUAACAGAUGAAGGAAUUCUCCCUGGUAAAAAUCUGGAAACCCGUGAGCAGAUGAAAUAAACAGUGAUGAUUGUUACCUGCUGAUUCACGGUCUUUUUCU